UCCACAUGAUCAGAGAACGUCACACCCCGCACUGACACACCUUCCUGCAUCUCUUCAUCUCUGUGGAACUACACUGAUAGAUAACUGAGCUUUUAAUUAGUUUUAGAACAUGACUGCUAUCAGACAUGGUCUCCUCAGCUUGUUGGUGUUUGUACUCUGGAUGAAAGGUCUGACUGAUGGAAGUGAUGUUAACCAGACCCCCAUACUGUGGAGGAAGAAGGGUGAAAAUGCAGCAAUACGAUGUGACCACACGAAGGGUGCUACUUACUUCCAGAUGUACUGGUAUCAACAGCUGCCAGGGGAGGGAAUGAAGGAAAUAGUUUUUACUUCAGUUAAUUCUCAACAUAAAUAUACAAACGGCUUCAGUGAGGAGAAAUUCCCAGCAGAGAAGAAAAAUGCUCAGACUGGAUCUCUGACAGUAAAGAAGCUGGAGCCUCAAGACAGCGGAGUGUAUUUCUGUUCUGUGAGUCAACACAGUGAUGCAGGUGGUUUAAAGAGCUGCACAAAAACCCAACAGCUGCUCCCAGUGAACUGAAGACAUCAUUUUUAAUCAUCUGUAGAGGGAGCUCUAGACCUGGAGACUUUAUCAUCAGAUUAGUUGAAUAUUUACUACUUUCUAUGAUCAUGGUGCCGUUCACAUCAUUUUACAGAUAGUGACAACA